AGCCUUGGAGGGUCACUUUUGAGUUUCGACUUACGGAUAUUUUACUUUUGACUUUUGACUUUUGAUUUGUGACUUACGUCUUAUGACUUUUGGCUAACCCAUUUUACACGUGCUCUAGAAGCUGAAAGCAGCAACUUUGGUUUCAGACACAACUACUGGACAAAAGGUAACGAGGAUGAAAACCUUGAUGUUGAUCUGUGUCUUCAUCAUUAUACUGUUCAGCAUUACCAAAGCUACCGUGCCAAGAUACCUACCCUCAACAUCUAUAACAAACAAAACUCUGCUGAUAAUAGAGUACUUUCUGGUACAGCAUGGCAUUACGACGUCAUUUAGUACAGUGAAUAGACUUUUUAAACGCUUAAAUUUAAAACGGCGUAAUGGAAUAUAUACUCCUUUUGAGACUGUGUCUGAUGUUAUAAACAGAGAAAUACAAACAAAUGGACAACGCAUAGAAUACCGUACAAUAUGGCGUAGGUUAAUGCUGGAUUACCACAUGUACGUCAAGGGAGACGACGUCAUGGAAAUAAUGAGAGCGCUUGAUCCGGAUGGUAUUGAGAUGCGGAAAGCUCAUCGCUUAUGCCGACGCGUAUACUACGCCAUGACAUAUGGACGGUUCCAUAAGGAUUUUAUAUCCAUGGUGCUGUGAAUGGGUAUAGUAGAAAAAUAACAUGGUUAGAGGUUUUGGACUCAAAUAACGACCCACACCUUAUUGCAAGAUACUUUUAGACACCUUUAAUGAACAUUAUCAAGUCCCCCUCACCCAAUUACUAGGUUGUGAUGUUGGUACGGAAAACUGCAUUGCUUUACUAUUGUAGCAAUACUUCAGACACGAUUCUACAGAUCCGAUAGUUGGUACUUGAAGCCUUGUAGCUGGAAAAAGCACAUCUAACCAACGCAUUGAGAAGUGGUGGUGUACAUAACGAGAAAAAAUGGAAUCCAUUGGUGGAUUUUUUUCCCAAAGACUUACGCGGUACUUGUGUAUUCAAUGAUCUGGAUCCGAUACAAUGUGAGAACUUAAAAUUUUGCUUCAUGGACCUCAUACAAACCGAGUUAGACCGGAUUGCACAUGAAAUAAGGCAACAAAAAAGUUCUUCUGUUAUUUGUGAUAAACCUGACACACUGUUUUUUGUACCAGGUCUGUAUGAAACUCACGACUUCGGCAAUGCAGUUAACUUGAGAGACGUAUUUGCAAAGAACAUGUUUUCACGCCUAAGAAGACAAUGUGAGGAAUUCAUAGAAUUAGCACCCCUUCCGAAGCCAGAUCUACAGAUGCCAUUGGACGCUGAUUCAGCACUACAACUGUGUACCGAGUUGAAAGAUUUAAUUUUGAGAAUAGAUUUAAUAUAUAUACGCUUUGAAACGACUAAUACUGAUUUUUUUCGUGUUAUUGAUAUAUACUAGGUUACUAUAGGUUAAGUUUCAAAAAAUGAUGUUUUAAAAUCAUAAAGACGAUAGUCUACGAUUUCACUUCAUUAUAUGGUCGUUUUAAGAUAUUGGUUUGUAAAUAUUGAGCAAAUUACAAUAUAUUUGUAAAUUAUCAUUUAAGUUAUAACCACUCUAACUUGCACUAUAAGGCAUUGUAAAAUUGACAACAUUGUCUAGUGGUAUAGUUUACCUAAAGGACACCUGUAUGCAAAAUUUAAGCAAAAUUUACCGUACGGUUUUGGAGUUGUAGGCAUUAUUAUGAGUCAGAACAUAUAAAUUAAAAAGGCUUUUUAAAAGAAAUACAUGUAUUGAAAGUUUUAAAAAAAUAUCCGUGUAAUCUCAUUUAAACAUGUUUUGCAAGUGUUGUUUGUUUAGAUGCAAAUAAUAACAUUCUAGUAAUAAACUAUGCAUGUUAAAUGCAUGACUAUUCUCGACACGAUAGAAAUAUGCAUGGAAAUGUUUCUACCCCACCAAUUUGAACAUUUUUUAUCAUAUCAUUCUAAAUUUAAAAAAUCACUAAAAUUACAUUUAGUCAAAGGGCUUGUAUCAAAGUUUGCUAAAAUCUUUCUAGAAGUAUAUUGAUUCAUUCUGUGAAAUAUGGACGGCUUUUACCGGCUAGUUUGUAAUAUAUAAAGCAUUGAAAAUGUUAUAAUUGUAAUUUGCUCUUAGAUUUUUUUAGCAUUAAUUAGGCAAUGAAUAUCUGUAAAAAAAUUAUAAUAAUAGAAAACGAGCAUAUUUUUCCAUCUUAAUAUAGCUAGAAAAAUACAAAAAUACUGUCAAAAGAAAAAAUGAAGAAAAAAAGUUGGCUCCUAUGGGAUUCGAACCCACAACCCUCUGAUUUCAUGCAACUAAUGUAAAUACUCUUGAAAUGGAGGUAAUGCAUUAGGAUGGUCAUACCUUAACGGGUCAUUUCUUAAACAGUCUUUGCAUGUAUUUUUUUACGAAAAGCGUACGUGUAGUGGGAAUCUUCCUUAAGUUAUUUAAAAAAUCAAAUCUAAACACAUUUAUUGUACAAGUUAAUGGUCCUUUUAAAGAUUUCCAACUCAGCAGCCUGUAAAUAUUAAUUUGUAAAGUUUUUACAUCACAAUAUAUGUAUGUGCAAUUUUGUAACUUUUUACGUAAAAUACUUGCAGUAUUUCUUUUUUGUUUUUGGCAUACGUAUUACGAGAUUAACUGCACUAUAUGAAUCGACUUCUGGUUGUAUCUCUUCUAUCAAGCCCUGGUUACAAAACGGCUGCCCGACUAGGAAUAGAACCUCGGUCUCCCGCGUGACUGGCAGGGACACUUUCCACUAUGCCAAAUGUCACAGGGGGAGAAAGAUAUGCAGCCAUACCGGGAUUCGAACCCGGAACCCCUUACAGGGCUAGCUCUGUCCCGACCGAGAUUGCACAUCAUCUACUGAAUAGAUUUUAAGUUAUACGUGUAAUUUCAAGUAUGUGUAAUUAGAUUCAAACGUCUUAUUCAUUCGCAACAAAUAGCAACCAUACUUUAUAGGAUGUAUUAUGGUAUUUAAAAGGAAUAUAUAUGAUUGUUAUUUCAAAAAUAGUAAUUGAUCUUUGUAAUAAAUGCUGACUUAUU